CAGCAGCCACGGUAAUACGAAGGGUGCAAGCGUUACUCGGAAUUACUGGGCGUAAAGCGUGCGUAGGUGGUGGUUUAAGUCCGUUGUGAAAGCCCUGGGCUCAACCUGGGAAUUGCAGUGGAUACUGGGUCACUAGAGUGUGGUAGAGGAUAGUGGAAUUUCCGGUGUAGCAGUGAAAUGCGUAGAGAUCGGAAGGAACAUCUGUGGCGAAGGCGACUAUCUGGGCCAACACUGACACUGAGGCACGAAAGCGUGGGGAGCAAACAGGAUUAGAUCCCCCGUAGUCCCUGUCUCUUAUACA
rnacentral:rRNA from 1 species